AUGCCUGUACCAUAACCGACACAGGUGGGUAGGUAGAGUAUACUAAGGGGCGCGAGAUAACUCUCUCUAAGGAACUCGGCAAAAUGACUCCGUAACUUCGGGAGAAGGAGUGCCUUAUUUAUAAGGUUGCAAUAACAAGAUCCAAGCAACUGUUUAUCAAAAACACAGGUCUCCGCUAAGUCGUAAGACGAUGUAUGGGGGCUGACGCCUGCCCAGUGCCAGAAGGUUAAAGAAGUUGGUUAGUGUAUGCGAAGCUGAUGACUGAAGCCCUGGUGAACGGCGGCCGUAACUAUAACGGUCCUAAGGUAGCGAAAUUCCUUGUCGGGUAAGUUCCGACCCGCACGAAAGGCGUAAUGAUUUGGAUACUGUCUCGGAGAGAGGCUCGGUGAAAUAGACUUGUCUGUGAAGAUGCGGACUACCUGCACCAGGACAGAAAGACCCUAUGAAGCUUUACUGUAACUUGAUAUUGGAAUUGGACUUUGCUUGCGCAGUAUAGGUGGGAAGCGUUGAAGAUAUUCUUGCGGGAGUAUUGGAGCUAUCAGUGAGAUACCACUCUUGUAAUGUUAGAUUUCUAACUUUGAACCAUAAUCUGGUCAAAGAACAGUUUCAGGUGGGCAGUUUGACUGGGGCGGUCGCCUCCCAAAUGGUAACGGAGGCGUACAAAGGUUUCCUCUGAACGGAUAGAAAUCGUAUCUAGAGUGUAAAGGCAUAAGGAAGCUUGACUGUGAGACCUACAAGUCGAGCAGGGACGAAAGUCGGUCUUAGUGAUCUGACGGUACUGAGUGGAAAGGCCGUCACUCAACGGAUAAAAGUUACUCUAGGAUAACAGGCUGAUCUCCCCCAAGAGUUCACAUCGACGGGGAGGUUUGGCACCUCGAUGUCGGCUCAUCGCAUCCUGGGGCGGUAGUACGUCCCAAGGGUUGGGCUGUUCGCCCAUGAAAGCGGUACGCGAGCUGGGUUCAGAACGUCGUGAGACAGUUCGGUCCAUAUCCGGUGUAGGCGUUAGAAUAUUGAGAGGAGCCUUCUUUAGUACGAGAGGACCGAGAAGGACACACCGCUGGUGUACCAGUUAUCGUGCCAACGGUAAACGCUGGGUAGCUAUGUGUGGAGUGGAUAACCGCUGAAAGCAUCUAAGUGGGAAGCCCACCUCAAGAUGAGUAUUCUCAUCGGGUAAACCCAGUAAGGUCACGGGAAGAACACCCGUUAAUAGGCGAUAGGUGGAAGUGCAGCAAUGUAUGGAGCCGAGUCGGACUAAUAGACC
rnacentral:rRNA from 1 species